rfam:Trabulsiella guamensis ATCC 49490 GTGT.assembly.059, whole genome shotgun sequence.
UGCACCGUUCGUGAUGUGGUAUUAGCAGUCAUAAGCUGUUGAUUGCGUAGGGCAAUAGUUUUAUUGCCCUUUUAUUUUU